GACGAACCGUGCGAACGUUGUUCGGAUUCACUGGGCUUAAAGGGCGCGUAGGCGGGCGGUCAAGUCGGGGGUGAAAUCUUUCAGCUUAACUGGAAAAGUGCCUCCGAUACUGAUCGCCUCGAGGGAGGUAGGGGCAUGUGGAACUUCCGGUGGAGCGGUGAAAUGCGUGGAUAUCGGAAGGAACGCCGGUGGCGAAAGCGACGUGCUGGACCUCUUCUGACGCUGAGGCGCGAAAGCUAGGGGAGCAAACGGG
rnacentral:rRNA from 1 species